GCGACACUAGCUCAGUUGGUAGAGCGCAACCUUGUUCCAAGGUUGAAGGAUCACGAGUUUCGAACCUCGUGUGUCAGCUCCA
rnacentral:tRNA from 1 species